rnacentral:rRNA from 1 species
GGGUUGUGAGGUUAAGCGACUAAGCGUACACGGUGGAUGCCCUGGCAGUCAGAGGCGAUGAAGGACGUGCUAAUCUGCGAUAAGCGUCGGUAAGGUGAUAUGAACCGUUAUAACCGGCGAUUUCCGAAUGGGGAAACCCAGUGUGUUUCGACACACUAUCAUUAACUGAAUCCAUAGGUUAAUGAGGCGAACCGGGGGAACUGAAACAUCUAAGUACCCCGAGGAAAAGAAAUCAACCGAGAUUCCCCCAGUAGCGGCGAGCGAACGGGGAGCAGCCCAGAGCCUGAAUCAGUGUGUGUGUUAGUGGAAGCGUCUGGAAAGGCGCGCGAUACAGGGUGACAGCCCCGUACACAAAAAUGCACAUGCUGUGAGCUCGAUGAGUAGGGCGGGACACGUGGUAUCCUGUCUGAAUAUGGGGGGACCAUCCUCCAAGGCUAAAUACUCCUGACUGACCGAUAGUGAACCAGUACCGUGAGGGAAAGGCGAAAAGAACCCCGGCGAGGGGAGUGAAAAAGAACCUGAAACCGUGUACGUACAAGCAGUGGGAGCACGCUUAGGCGUGUGACUGCGUACCUUUUGUAUAAUGGGUCAGCGACUUAUAUUCUGUAGCAAGGUUAACCGAAUAGGGGAGCCGAAGGGAAACCGAGUCUUAACUGGGCGUUAAGUUGCAGGGUAUAGACCCGAAACCCGGUGAUCUAGCCAUGGGCAGGUUGAAGGUUGGGUAACACUAACUGGAGGACCGAACCGACUAAUGUUGAAAAAUUAGCGGAUGACUUGUGGCUGGGGGUGAAAGGCCAAUCAAACCGGGAGAUAGCUGGUUCUCCCCGAAAGCUAUUUAGGUAGCGCCUCGUGAAUUCAUCUCCGGGGGUAGAGCACUGUUUCGGCAAGGGGGUCAUCCCGACUUACCAACCCGAUGCAAACUGCGAAUACCGGAGAAUGUUAUCACGGGAGACACACGGCGGGUGCUAACGUCCGUCGUGAAGAGGGAAACAACCCAGACCGCCAGCUAAGGUCCCAAAGUCAUGGUUAAGUGGGAAACGAUGUGGGAAGGCCCAGACAGCCAGGAUGUUGGCUUAGAAGCAGCCAUCAUUUAAAGAAAGCGUAAUAGCUCACUGGUCGAGUCGGCCUGCGCGGAAGAUGUAACGGGGCUAAACCAUGCACCGAAGCUGCGGCAGCGACACUAUGUGUUGUUGGGUAGGGGAGCGUUCUGUAAGCCUGUGAAGGUGUGCUGUGAGGCAUGCUGGAGGUAUCAGAAGUGCGAAUGCUGACAUAAGUAACGAUAAAGCGGGUGAAAAGCCCGCUCGCCGGAAGACCAAGGGUUCCUGUCCAACGUUAAUCGGGGCAGGGUGAGUCGACCCCUAAGGCGAGGCCGAAAGGCGUAGUCGAUGGGAAACAGGUUAAUAUUCCUGUACUUGGUGUUACUGCGAAGGGGGGACGGAGAAGGCUAUGUUGGCCGGGCGACGGUUGUCCCGGUUUAAGCGUGUAGGCUGGUUUUCCAGGCAAAUCCGGAAAAUCAAGGCUGAGGCGUGAUGACGAGGCACUACGGUGCUGAAGCAACAAAUGCCCUGCUUCCAGGAAAAGCCUCUAAGCAUCAGGUAACAUCAAAUCGUACCCCAAACCGACACAGGUGGUCAGGUAGAGAAUACCAAGGCGCUUGAGAGAACUCGGGUGAAGGAACUAGGCAAAAUGGUGCCGUAACUUCGGGAGAAGGCACGCUGAUAUGUAGGUGAAGUCCCUCGCGGAUGGAGCUGAAAUCAGUCGAAGAUACCAGCUGGCUGCAACUGUUUAUUAAAAACACAGCACUGUGCAAACACGAAAGUGGACGUAUACGGUGUGACGCCUGCCCGGUGCCGGAAGGUUAAUUGAUGGGGUUAGCGCAAGCGAAGCUCUUGAUCGAAGCCCCGGUAAACGGCGGCCGUAACUAUAACGGUCCUAAGGUAGCGAAAUUCCUUGUCGGGUAAGUUCCGACCUGCACGAAUGGCGUAAUGAUGGCCAGGCUGUCUCCACCCGAGACUCAGUGAAAUUGAACUCGCUGUGAAGAUGCAGUGUACCCGCGGCAAGACGGAAAGACCCCGUGAACCUUUACUAUAGCUUGACACUGAACAUUGAGCCUUGAUGUGUAGGAUAGGUGGGAGGCUUAGAAGUGUGGACGCCAGUCUGCAUGGAGCCGACCUUGAAAUACCACCCUUUAAUGUUUGAUGUUCUAACGUUGACCCGUAAUCCGGGUUGCGGACAGUGUCUGGUGGGUAGUUUGACUGGGGCGGUCUCCUCCUAAAGAGUAACGGAGGAGCACGAAGGUUGGCUAAUCCUGGUCGGACAUCAGGAGGUUAGUGCAAUGGCAUAAGCCAGCUUGACUGCGAGCGUGACGGCGCGAGCAGGUGCGAAAGCAGGUCAUAGUGAUCCGGUGGUUCUGAAUGGAAGGGCCAUCGCUCAACGGAUAAAAGGUACUCCGGGGAUAACAGGCUGAUACCGCCCAAGAGUUCAUAUCGACGGCGGUGUUUGGCACCUCGAUGUCGGCUCAUCACAUCCUGGGGCUGAAGUAGGUCCCAAGGGUAUGGCUGUUCGCCAUUUAAAGUGGUACGCGAGCUGGGUUUAGAACGUCGUGAGACAGUUCGGUCCCUAUCUGCCGUGGGCGCUGGAGAACUGAGGGGGGCUGCUCCUAGUACGAGAGGACCGGAGUGGACGCAUCACUGGUGUUCGGGUUGUCAUGCCAAUGGCACUGCCCGGUAGCUAAAUGCGGAAGAGAUAAGUGCUGAAAGCAUCUAAGCACGAAACUUGCCCCGAGAUGAGUUCUCCCUGACCCUUUAAGGGUCCUGAAGGAACGUUGAAGACGACGACGUUGAUAGGCCGGGUGUGUAAGCGCAGCGAUGCGUUGAGCUAACCGGUACUAAUGAACCGUGAGGCUUAACCUUACAACGCCGAAGCUGUU